rnacentral:rRNA from 1 species
AAUCAACGCUGGCGGCGUGCCUCAGACAUGCAAGUCGAACGAUUAAAGCUCUCUUCGGAGAGUGUAUAGAGUGGCGCACGGGUGAGUAACACGUAAGUAAUCUACCUCUGAGUGGGGAAUAACGUUCGGAAACGGACGCUAAUACCGCAUAAUGCAGCGGCACCGCAAGGUGACAGUUGUUAAAGAUUUAUCGCUUAGAGAGGAGCUUGCGGCAGAUUAGCAGUUGGUAAGGUAAUGGCUUACCAAGGCUACGAUCUGUAACCGGUCUUAGAGGACGGUCGGUCACACUGACACUGAAUAACGGGUCAGACUCCUACGGGAGGCAGCAGUCGGGAAUUUUGGGCAAUGGGCGAAAGCCUGACGCAGCGACGCCGCGUGAGGGAUGACGGCCUGGUGUAACGU